rnacentral:pre_miRNA from 1 species
AAUCUAAUGGUUGAGUCAUAUGGUAUUUGAAUGUUUAGUUUUUGAAGAACUUGCCAAACUGUUUUCUAAGCUGGCUGUACUGUUUUACAUUUCCAUUGACCAU